rnacentral:rRNA from 1 species
UACGGAGGGUGCAAGCGUUGUCCGGAAUCAUUGGGCGUAAAGCGUUCGUAGGCGGCAUGCCAAGUCUGAUGUCAAAUCCCGGGGCUCAACUCCGGUUCGGCAUUGGAUACUGGUAAGCUAGAAUGUGGUAGAGGUUAAGGGAAUUCCUGGUGUAGCGGUGAGAUGCGUCGAUAUCAGGAGGAACACCGGUGGCGUAAGCGCUUAACUGGGCCAUAAUUGACGCUGAGGAACGAAAGCCGGGGUAGCAAAU